rnacentral:rRNA from 1 species
GAAUUAAAUGGCCGCAGUAUUUUGACUGUGCAAAGGUAGCAUAAUUAUUANUUUUUUAAUUGAAAGCUUGUAUGAAGGGUUGGACGAGAUAAAAUCUGUCUUUAUUUAAAUUACAAUAGAAUUUAACUUUUAAGUCAAAAGGCUUAAAUGUAUAUAAAAGACGAGAAGACCCUAUAGAUCUUUAUUUAAUUAAUAUUUUGAUAAUUUAAGAUUAUUUUAGUUUAAAGUUUUAAUUAAAUUUUAUUGGGGUAAUAUAGAGAUUAAAUAAAUUCUUUUUAUUUAUUACAUUGAUUUAUGAAUAUAUGAUCCAAUAUUAUUGAUUAUAAGAUUAAGUUACCUUAGGGAUAACAGCGUAAUUUUUUUGGAGAGCUCAUAUCGAUAAAAAAGUUUGCGACCUCGAUGUUGGAUUAAAAAUUAGCUUGGGUGCAGAAGCUCAAGAUUUUGGUCUGUUCGACCAUUAAAUUUUUACAUGAUCUGAGUUCAGACCGGCGUAAGCCAGGUCGGUUUCUAUCUUUAUUUAUCUAAAAUAUUUUAGUACGAAAGGACCAAAUAUUUAAUAUAAUUAUAUUUCUUUUUUGAAUAAUAUU